rnacentral:rRNA from 1 species
CUUGCUUCCUGAGAGUGGGGAACGGGUGCGUAACGCGUAUGCAACCUACCACCAUCAGGGGUAUAGCCCGGAAAAAUCCGGAUUAACACCGCAUGAAGACACAGUACCGCAUGGUACAAUGUCCAAAUAUUUAUAGGAUGGUGAUGGGCAUGCGUGCCAUUAGCUAGUUGGCGGGGUAACGGCCCACCAAGGCGACAAUGGCUAGGGGAUCUGAAAGGAUGGCCCCCCACACUGGUACUGAAACACGGACCAAACUCCUACGGGAGGCAGCAGUAAGGAAUAUUGGUCAAUGGGGGCAACCCUGAACCAGCCAUGCCGCGUGCAGGAAAACAGCCCUAUGGGUCGUAAACUGCUUUUAUACGGGAAUAACCCUCUCCUCGUGAGGAGAGCUGAAGGUACCGUAAGAAUAAGGAUCGGCUAACUCCGUGCCAGCAGCCGCGGUAAUACGGAGGAUCCAAGCGUUAUCCGGAUUUAUUGGGUUUAAAGGGAGCGUACGCGGCCCGUUAAGUCAGGGGUGAAAGACGGUGGCUCAACCAUCGCAGUGCCCUUGAUACUGGCGGGCUUGAAUAUAGUUGAGGUGGGCGGAAUGUGACAAGUAGCGGUGAAAUGCAUAGAUAUGUCACAGAACGCCGAUUGCGAAGGCAGCUCAC